rnacentral:rRNA from 3 species
UACAGAGGUGGCAAGCGUUGUUCGGAAUUACUGGGCGUAAAGGGCGCGUAGGCGGCCUUGUAAGUCCUGUGUGAAAUCCCCCGGCUCAACUGGGGAACUGCACAGGAGACUGCUUGGCUUGAGUUCGGGAGAGGGAAGCGGAAUUCCGGGUGUAGCGGUGAAAUGCGUAGAUAUCCGGAGGAACACCGGUGGCGAAGGCGGCUUCCUGGACCGACACUGACGCUGAGGCGCGAAAGCCAGGGGAGCAAACGGG